CAGUCGCCACGGUAAUACGUAGGUGGCAAGCGUUGUCCGGAAUUAUUGGGCGUAAAGCGCGCACAGGUGGUUUAAUAAGUCUGAUGUGAAAGCCCACGGCUCAACCGUGGAGGGUCAUUGGAAACUGUUAAACUUGAGUGCAGGAGAGAAAAGUGGAAUUCCUAGUGUAGCGGUGAAAUGCGUAGAGAUUAGGAGGAACACCAGUGGCGAAGGCGGCUUUUUGGCCUGUAACUGACACUGAGGCGCGAAAGCGUGGGGAGCAAACAGGAUUAGAUACCCCGGUAGUCCCUGUCUCUUAUAC
rnacentral:rRNA from 1 species